UCACUACUAGUGUAUUUGAUGAAAGAGUGCCACUACUUAGAAAAUGUUCAAUAAGAUACGUACCCUCCAGGCUAUAUACCAUUGCUCCGAGCCAACAAAGAAGCAAUUUCGUUUGACAGUUGACAAUUGACAGCGUAAUGGUCAAAACUCAAGAAAUGGAUAACAAAAUAUACCUAGUGAAAUAGCGGUGCCGUAAUAGUGUUCAUUGUUCUGUGGCGGUACCGCAGUUUAGAGGACGGUCGUAAUUACGGCAAUCUAAUUUAAUAGCGGUAAACAAUUUAUCGAAAAAUGAAUUUUAAUUGGAGCAGCAAAGAAGACGAGCAAUUAAUAGAGUUUGUGCGGGCUCAUGAAGUGUUAUAUAAUGUUAAAAACGAAAACCACAGAAAGAAACAACUGAAACAGAAAUUGUGGUGUGAAGUGGGUGAAAUUCUUAGUAAAUCAUAUUCCGAUUGCCACAAGAGAUGGUGCUAUGUAAGGGAUUACUAUAUUCGGCGCAGAGGAAAACCUGGUACUGGCGGAGAAGCAGCAAGGAAGAGAUCAGAACUCCUCUCUUUCUUAGACCACUUUCCAUCUUCACAAAGAAACAGCAAUAUUAACGUAAUUGAAGUUGCCGACCCAGGAAAAAAUACUGGAAAUAACAGUGAACACACACAGGAAAACAUUAUAAAUAGAGAUGAUAAUACGUCAUUCAAUAACGAAAGCGAUAGCAAUUCUGAUACAUGUGAAAAAAAUGAAGAAAUAAUUAAAGAGUUUAAACGAGAUUUUAAUUCCGUUUGGAGUAACCAGAAGAGAAGAAAAUAUUCACAAAAUCAGGAACGAUUUAACGUACUAAAACAUCUAAUAGCCAACAGAAAACCAUCUACUCAAAAUGAUGUGUUAAACGAAACUGAUCUCUUUUUUAGUUCAAUGGCAAAAAUUGUUAAAAAGCUUCCAAGGUAUGAACAAGCCCAACUAAGAAUGCAAAUCGGGGAAUUGGUUGGCAAUGCAGAAUUGCGUUACUCCCAUCGAUUUAACUUCAACUGCGCAUCACCGCGACCCAGUACAAGUUCUAGUGACUGAUUUUGCAUUUUUCUGUUAUACUUGUUACCCGCCACAUGAUUACCGUCAAACGACGGCACAGCACACACAAAGGAAAUCAGAGCUUCUAAAAACCGAAUCAGUGUUCUUGUUUUAUCGAGUGAUACUUAAUAUAGAAGUAUCAACUUAAAAUAACGCCCCUGUUUGCACUGCAUUCGGAUGCAUCGGGGGGUCCGUAGCUACUACUUAAGUCGGUACUGGCUAGGAGCCGAUCUAAUUCCUAGCCAACAGAUAUGUUUGAAGCGUUUAAGCAAAAAGCAAUCAUAUAUCGUGAACUAUAAUGUUAAUAAUGUCAAGAAAAUGUAAUUUUUUAUUAUAAAGGUGAAGAGACCAAUAGGAAAUAAGAUCGAUGUUAUAUUUAACUGAAACGUGACAACAGUAGUUUACAGUGCUUACUUCAGACUUCAUACAGAAAACAUACAAACGAAAAUAAUCAGAAAGUAAACCUAUAGCACAGAACCCUGUGAAAGUAUGAAGAAAAUUUUAGUUUUAAGGAACUUUUAUAUUUUAAAACAAAUAAUGUACAUACAUGUAGGUAGGUCAAAAGCGUGAUAUUAUAUAAAUUAAAUGCAUUUUCCAAAUCGA